rnacentral:lncRNA from 1 species
AAUACCAAAUCAUAGAUACAGCAUGAUCCUGAUUUUUUGUUUUUACUAACAGUAAACGUUCAUAUAAAAAGACUAGAAGGAAAUUAACCAAUUGUUAACAGUGUCUGACUCUAGGUGGUGGGAUUAUAGUGGAUUAUAAUAAUAAAAGCUAACACUUGUAUAGCGCUUUUCUCAGCACUUUACAUAUAUUUAUAUACACUUACUCCUUAUAUCUAUCCUACAGGAGAAAUACCAUAUUAUCCCCAUUUUGCAGAUGAGGAGACAGAAGUGGAGAGAGGUGAAGUGACUUGCUCAACAUCACACAGUUGCCUUCCCACGUGUGUGAGACCAUUGCUGUGGAAAGAAGCCGGGCCUGACUUCAGGGAUCUGGUGUGAAAUGACUGGACCCAUGCGUUCUGAGUAAACAAGAGAGCCCCUUCUGGCUUCUCCGGGAGGAACCAAAUGGCUUCAGCAUUCAGCUCCAAAGCCCGAUGGAGACCAAGAGUGAUACACUGUACUCAUGAUCAACUGCUCAGUUCUGGUUUGGGCCUCUGAGGGCUGAUGGGGUUUGGCAGUCUCACUAUGUGGAAGCUUCACUAUUUCACAAUGAAGGCCCAGCACGGUGACUCAAACCUGUAAUCCCAGCACUUUGGAGGGCUGAGGCAAGUGGAUCACCUGAGAUCAGGAGUUCAAGACCAG